rnacentral:rRNA from 1 species
AUUGAACGCUGGCGGCAUGCCUUACACAUGCAAGUCGAACGGUAACAGGUCUUCGGAUGCUGACGAGUGGCGAACGGGUGAGUAAUACAUCGGAACGUGCCUAGUAGUGGGGGAUAACUACUCGAAAGAGUGGCUAAUACCGCGUGAGAUCUACGGAUGAAAGCAGGGGAUCGCAAGACCUUGUGCUACUAGAGCGGCCGAUGGCAGAUUGGGUAGUUGGUGGGAUAAAAGCCUACCAAGCCGACGAUCUGUAGCUGGUCUGAGAGGCCGAUCAGCCACACUGGGACUGAGACACGGCCCAGUCUCCUACGGGAGGCAGCAGUGGGGAAUUUUGGACAAUGGGCGAAAGCCUGAUCCAGCCAUGCCGCGUGCAGGAUGAAGACCUUCGGGUUGUAAACUGCUUUUGUACGGAACGAAAAGCUCUGGGUUAAUACCCUGGGGUCAUGACGGUACCGUAAGAAUAAGCACCGGCUAACUACGUGCCAGCCGCCGCAGUAACAC